rnacentral:rRNA from 1 species
CACGUAGGGUGCGAGCGUUGUCCGGAAUUAUUGGGCGUAAAGAGCUCGUAGGCGGUGUGUCGCGUCGGCCGUGAAAGUCCGGGGCUCAACUCCGGAUCUGCGGUGGGUACGGGCAGACUAGAGUGAUGUAGGGGAGACUGGAAUUCCUGGUGUAGCGGUGAAAUGCGCAGAUAUCAGGAGGAACACCAAUGGCGAAGGCAGCUCGCUGGGACGGUACUGACGCUGAGACGCGAAAGCGUGGGGAGCAAACAGG